AAAGUUGGUUUGCGGUAUUGAUCGAAAAUAAUCCUAUUAUUCACAUUUAUAAGCAUAACAUCAAGAAAACUGAUUUUUCCCUCGAUCUCUCUCUCCAUAGUAAAUUGUAAACGGUCAUGCAUGGAAUUAAACGUGUCAAGAAUGCCCGAUAGCGAAUUAGCCGGGGCUGCUAAUAUAAUGUCAUCUACAUAUCUGCAGUAAAAAGGUAGAUGAAAAGAAAGGAGUUUUAACGCCUUACACUCCAAAUCCUGCAUGACCAGAUCCGCUAAAAUAGGAGACAGCGGUGAUCCCAUCGGCAGACCGAAGAUCUGUUUAUAGCAAGUAUUAUUAAAUUUAAAAUAUGUGGAAUCUAUUAUUAAAUUUAGAGCUUUAAGAAAUUCAUUGACCGGAACAGUAGUAUUUUUUGAAAUCAGAUCCCAUCUGGUCGUGACGCUUUCCACCGCUAAGUUUUUUGGAACGUUGGUGAAAAGAGACACGACGUCCAAUGACACUAAGACGUGAUCCGAUUCCACGUGAAGGCCAUUAAGUUUAUUGACCAAAUGGAAGCUAUUUUUCACGAAACUAUCUGCUUCCGGUAUGCUGUUAUAAAUUAUGUUAUGUAAAAAAUAAGCUAGAGAGUGUAACGGACUAUUUAUGGAAGAAAUUAUAAUUCUUAAAGGGUUAUUAGGUUUGUGGAUCUUCGGCAGGCCGUAGGCUCUCGGCAAAACACCGUCCGUUGUCAAUAAACUCCUAUAAAUAUGUUGUUCAAUGAAACCUUUAUCUUUCCAUAUGGAGAGAAGAGAGCGAGUCUCUUUGGUUAAUUUUUGAAUCGGAUCUUUGGAUAAUUUGACGUAAAUAGACUCGUCAGAGAGCAUGCCUUCCAUCUUCGAGAUAUAAUCAUUCUUGUCAAGGGCAACUGUUACAUUACCCUUGUCCGCUCUGGUAAACAAAAUAUUAGGGUGCUCCCUAACGAAUCUUCCCGUGGUUCGUAACCAGUCUUUAAUUAGCUGGUCAUUGAUAUUUACCUGACGGUCGCUGCGAAACAAGGUCUCCAAGAUCGAUACCGAACGAUUCCUUAUUGCCACGUGUAUGUUUUCUCGGUAUUGUGAGAUGUUAAGUUCUAUGUGUUUGAUGAAUUCUAAUAAUGUUCUUCCUCUGUCACCAUCCAAUAAAGGUAAACCAAAGCGGUCCCCCAGUUGUAAGAGAUAUUGGACGUCCCUCGGGAUGUCAUUAUUGCUUAGAUUAGUAAACCAAUCGUUAUGCAAAGUGUCCAGAGGAAUCUCAGAAUUAAAUUCAGAGGGAGACACAUGGAUUUUAUGUAUUGUCUCAUUCACACUGGGCGUAAGCCGUUGGAAAGAAAAAGUUGUUUUCUCAUUAGUCACAUCCGAAGUCUUGGCGACAUAUUUAAUGUCUCUUAUGUUAUUAAUCCAAUACUGACGCUUUUUAUAGUCAUCAUUUUAACAUCAUUGUCUUAUUUAUUUAUUUAUUCAUUUGUUAGCAACCAAUCGAUGUUGUUUCACAAAACUCUUGUCUCGGCACACGCUCUGUGAGGUUGUUCACAAUAUCAUUAUGCUAAGACGCUAUAAUAAGAUGUAAUCUCUAUCUUUUUGACUUGUAUUAUCACUGAAGAAGACCGUUAUUAAAGGUAGAAACGUUUGCCUGCUUGACAUUGAAGUCUUUCGUUAUUUAUUUGCACCCGACAUCCUGCGUGGCUCUUGAGCUCACUAUUCUUUAUUUUAUUUUAAUUAUAAGAGCCUUAACCCUUGUUUUAUUGUUUUGUU